rnacentral:rRNA from 1 species
GACGAACGCUGGCGGCGUGCUUAACACAUGCAAGUCGAGCGGAAAGGCCCUUUCGGGGGUACUCGAGCGGCGAACGGGUGAGUAACACGUGAGUAAUCUGCCCUUGGCUUUGGGAUAACCACCGGAAACGGUGGCUAAUACCGGAUAUGACGCGCCCCGGCAUCGGGGUGUGUGGAAAGUUUUUUCGGCCAGGGAUGUGCUCGCGGCCUAUCAGCGUGUUGGUGGGGUAAUGGCCUACCAAGGCUUCGACGGGUAGCCGGCCUGAGAGGGUGACCGGCCACACUGGGACUGAGACACGGCCCAGACUCCUACGGGAGGCAGCAGUGGGGAAUAUUGGACAAUGGGCGGAAGCCUGAUCCAGCAACGCCGCGUGAGGGAUGACGGCCUUCGGGUUGUAAACCUCUCUCAGUACCGACGAAGCGCCGAUGAUGGUGGUGACGGUAGGUACAGAAGAAGCACCGGCCAACUACGUGCCAGCCGCCGCGGUAA